AGUGAACGCUGGCGGUAGGCCUAACACAUGCAAGUCGAACGGCAGCACAGUAAGAGCUUGCUCUUACGGGUGGCGAGUGGCGGACGGGUGAGGAAUACAUCGGAAUCUACUUUUUCGUGGGGGAUAACGUAGGGAAACUUACGCUAAUACCGCAUACGACCUACGGGUGAAGGCAGGGGAUCUUCGGACCUUGCGCGAUUGAAUGAGCCGAUGUCGGAUUAGCUAGUUGGCGGGGUAAAGGCCAACCAAGGCGACGAUCCGUAGCUGGUCUGAGAGGAUGAUCAGCCACACUGGAACUGAGACACGGUCCAGACUCCUACGGGAGGCAGCAGUGGGGAAUAUUGGACAAUGGGCGCAAGCCUGAUCCAGCCAUACCGCGUGGGUGAAGAAGGCCUUCGGGUUGUAAAGCCCUUUUGUUGGGAAAGAAAAGCAGCAGGUUAAUACCCCGCUGUUCUGACGGUACCCAAAGAAUAAGCACCGGCUAACUUCGUG
rnacentral:rRNA from 1 species